AGACACCAAGCAUAAUCCGACGGCCACUAUCCAAUCUCUCAAACUCCAAUACCCAAAACUUUUCUUCUCAUUCCCUACCGUCCGAUGAUCCUCAUCUUAAAACCGCACCUUUCCUCUGUAGUAAGAAGAGAAACGGAUCGAUAGCCAGAGAGGGAGGAAGGAUAGGAAAAAAGAAAAACUGAGGAAUAGAAAAGAAGGGAAAGGAAAAGAGAAAAAAUGGCGGAGCACUUGGCAUCGAUAUUUGGUACGGAAAAGGAUAGGGUCAACUGCCCGUUCUAUUUCAAGAUAGGCGCUUGUCGUCACGGAGACCGGUGCUCGCGUCUCCACACCAAGCCCAGCAUCAGCCCGACUCUCCUUCUCUCAAACAUGUACCAGCGGCCCGACAUGAUCACCCCCGGCGUCGAAAACCAGGGUAACCCCAUCGACCCCCGCAAGAUCCAAGAACAUUUCGAGGAGUUUUAUGAGGAUUUAUUUGAGGAACUGAGCAAGUACGGUGAAAUUGAGAGUCUGAAUAUAUGCGACAACUUGGCUGACCAUAUGGUGGGCAAUGUGUAUGUUCAGUUUAGAGAAGAAGAACAUGCCGCAAAUGCGCUCAGGAAUCUUAGUGGAAGAUUUUAUUCUGGCCGUCCUAUCAUUGUUGACUUCUCACCUGUGACUGACUUCCGUGAAGCCACCUGUAGGCAGUAUGAAGAGAAUACUUGCAAUCGUGGUGGAUAUUGCAAUUUCAUGCACCUGAAAACAAUCAGCAGGGAGUUGAGGCGCCAGUUAUUUGGGAGGUAUAGAAGGAGGCGAAGCCAUAGCCAAAGCAGAAGCAGAAGCCCUCCAAAGCAUCGUGGUAGCCAUGAGGAACGCUCUCAUGGUGGGCGUGGCCACAUUAGACGGUAUGGUGAUAGAGAUCAUUAUCAUGAAAGCCGGAGUAAAAGGCAUAGAAGCACUAGUCCUGGCCAUAGGAGAGGACGGAGCAGAAGCCCUGGGGGAAAGAGAAAUCGUAGUCCAGUUCGUGAAGGCAGUGAGGAGAGGCGUGCGAAAAUUGAGCAAUGGAACCGUGAAAGGGAGCAAGAAAAUGCUAACAGAGUUGAUAAUGAUGCUGCCAAUAAUAACAAUGAGAAUGGUAACAAUGGAUAUGCAAAGAAUGAUGAUAAGUACUAUGGACAUCAGCAGCAGCAGGAGUAGCCUCCAUAGCUGGGAGGCCAUUGACACUGAUUAAAUUACCUUGUCUGGUGGUGUGCAGGUUGUCGGUGCUGUGCUUGAGAAACAGGUUAAAAGGGUAUGUCAGAUUUAACUUGUAGAAGAAACAAGAAAGCGCCUGCAGCCUCUUCUCAGCUCUACUGCAAGGUAUAGGUGUUGUGGGUGUCUUAUGGACGAGCUAGGAGUGGUUUCAGUGAGGCCGUGAGUUGCUGGACUUUCUAUUUCUUAUUUUGAUCUUAACUUGACAGGUGUUGUAUUGUUGGAACGUGAUACAUGUUUGGUGUUAAAAAGACUUUAAAGAAUUGCCUUUUAUUGUAUAAGAUACUUAACUCAUUGCUAUAAAGUUUAGUAUUUUAACUUUAA